rnacentral:rRNA from 1 species
UACGUAGGGGGCAAGCGUUGUCCGGAUUUAUUGGGCGUAAAGAGCGUGUAGGCGGCCAGACAGGUCCGUUGUGAAAACUCGAGGCUCAACCUCGAGACGCCGAUGGAAACCGUCUGGCUAGAGUCCGGAAGAGGAGAGUGGAAUUCCCGGUGUAGCGGUGAAAUGCGCAGAUAUCGGGAAGAACACCAAUGGCGAAGGCAGCUCUCUGGGACGGUACUGACGCUGAGACGCGAAAGCGUGGGGAGCGAACAGG